rnacentral:miRNA from 1 species
AGAAGAGAGAAGUUGAGUAGA